AUAAGAGACGUCGUGGGGUGGAGAAAUGAAACUAUAACCUAACCUUAUUUUAAACCGGGUGCUCUCGCUGGUACCAAACAGAGAGUUUAUUUACUGCGGCGUCUUUAAUUUUUACG
rnacentral:telomerase_RNA from 1 species